rnacentral:lncRNA from 10 species
CAAAGUGCUGGGAUUACAGGUGUGAGCUACAGUCUCCAGCCUUGCAUUGAGUCUUAAAGGAUCUAAGUAUGAGAGCAAGGGGACAGAGGUGGGAGGGAUGGUGUAAUGGAGGACCUGGCAGCCAUCUGAGGGGCACAAGGACUGGGAGAGGCAAGGGUGACAGAUGGGCUGUGCUCUUGUAUGACAGGUUGGGACCAUAUCCCUAAGGUAAGGGGAAGCCACUGACAGAUUUUUGUCAAAGGGAGGUAGAUAAUUAGAUUGACCUUUCAGAGAAGUCAUUCCUGUGCCACUGCAUGCAGGAUGGUUUAAGGUACAUGGCUGUGCUUUGGUCUAGGAUAGGCCAAGGUGGACAUCCGGGCCAGAGGGACUCAGUGAGUUUAGAGCACAGGUGUAUAACUCCACUUGUGAUCACAGCCAUGUAGCCAUAACACGGAAGGCCAUCACUUGGCUCUAAGCCACUAUUGUCUGUAAAAGGUAUAAUUGCCCUGUUGACACUGUACAGGAGCUCAUGCCCAGAGAAAGAGUUAAGCUGCUGACCCUGAAGGCAAGUGAGAGCUGGCCACACAGCUGUGCGCGGGAGCGACUGGCUCAAGCAGCUGAGACAGAAGAGACAGCGUAAGAGAGCUGCUGAUGAAAGAGCUGCUAAUGAGACAGCUGCUGAUGAGAGCGCCCGCUGAACAAAAUCAUCUUUCACCUACCUACGGCCCCCUACGUGUUCUUUCAGGCAUCCACCCACUCCCCUCAGACCUCAGCAUGGGCUGGAACCUGACUCUGAACCUAACAGAUGGAUUGGAGGGCAGUGAGGUUGCAGGGGAGAGAUGAGUCAGGAGCUCCUGGAGAGACAAGUUUAGUGAAACUGGAAGGGGAGGCUUCCCGUUGCCUGGAUAGGCCAGAAGACACUCCCACACCUGUUACUUGUUCUACCACAGGACUAAGACUAUGAGAACAGCACUAAGGAAGAGCGGGGAGGUAUAAAAGCAUCUCCCAAUCUUACCGCUGGGGAAAAGCAGAGCUGUAAGAUGGACUGACAGCUGGCCACUGCUGCACAGAACUAUAGCAACAAUGUGAUUAUGCUCCAAGAGGCCCCUUCCAACCCUGGAAUGUAAUUCAGGCUGAACGUUCAGUAAUGAUGAGGACUUGCACCAACCCAGCCUUACCGUGACCAACACCACCAGGGGCCAGUGACACAUGUACUGCUCACUCUGUUAGUCAAUAUAUGAACAGGAAGUAGUGAUAAUCAUGAUAAAAAUAGGAUCAGCAACCUGUACAUUAUUGAGCACUGGGUACCAUCAAAGGUGAACCUUUUAUGUCAGGAAGUUAAUUGGACAUUAUUACAUUACUGUGAGCUCUUAGAGAUUUAAGCUUGUCGUCAAUAUCCCAUCAAUUCUGUUUAAAAGUGGGUGGCAGGCCAGGUGCGGUGGCUCACGCCUGUAAUCCCAACACUUUGGGAGGCUGAGGCAGGCAGAUUGCCUGAGGUCAGGAGUUCGAGACCAGUCUGGCCGACAUGGUGAAACCCCUUUACUAAAAAUACAAAAAUAUUAGCCAGGCAUGAUGGCAUGCACCUGUAAUCCCAGCUACUCGGGAGGCUGAGGCAGGGGAAUUGCUUGAACCAGGGAGGUGGAGGUUGCAGUGAGCUGAGAUCACGCCAUUGCACUCCAGCCUGGGCGACAGAGCGAGACUCUGUCUCAAAAAAAAAAAAAAAAAAAAAAAAAAAAAAAAAAAGUGGGUGACAGAGUUGCUUUGUUUUAGAGGAGUCUUUAGACCCCAAUAUCCAUCUUCUUGUGACACGCCCACGGUUUUACUGUUACGGUUACUCACGUCAUUGAAGUGUUGGCUGGUUUUCAUAAUGUAAGGAGUUCUUUCGUUUUUAUCCAGCUUCAUCCACCCCUGCCCAAGAAACUCCCUGGAAGUUCAAAACAAAACACAAAACCAAUUAAGUUUUUAAAAAUAUGGUGGCUAUGAUCCUGGACAGUUGUCACGAAUAUUAGAAAAAUUCCAUUUGACAUGGCCUAGAAUGGUUCCUGACACCUGCUGCUGCCAGCCUCACAAGUGAAUUUUACCUCGGCUGUUGCAGUUUACCUCUCAAUGCCAAAAAGGAAGAUUCUUCAGCUUCCAGCUUUCUCUUAUAAAUGUUUGGAACUGUGUCCCUAUUAGGAUCCUAUAAAGCCUUCUCUGAAGUUGGAAAACAAGAACCAACACAAGGGAAAUAAAGAGGUUAAGUACUACCUUAGAAAUCAAGACUAUUUUCCCAGGAUUAGCUUUUAAAAACAUUAAGCCUUAGCAGAGGGUCCAAAAAUUUCAUCACUACCAAAAAUGUUAGUCAGAAGCAGAAUUUUCUCCCUCCACUCUGCGCUGCCUGCCAUUCUCCUGGAGGAUGCAGAUUUCAAAGGCAGGGAUUGCGUUUUGUUCUCCCCAGCGCUCAGGAGGGCGCAGGUGGUCAGGGCUGAAAAGCGCUCCUUUUAGGCUUGUACCGCAUGUUGCCCUGACCAGGCAGUUCAGCGGGGCAGAAGCUCCACCUGGUCAGAUGGGCUGUCUUCAGGGCAGCAUUCCUGAUCAUUCACUUCAUUCCUGAGCAGGUCACCAGACACAGCAAGAAACAAGGGACAAGUGAGAUGCAGCAUACAGGAAUUAUUUUGUAUAGUCAUUAAAAACACUCGAAAUUACUCUGAUACUCAGGUUGACUAAGUCCCUGGGCAGGGUUCUUUGUCCCUUGCUGUUGUUGGUCCUGCUCCCAUCCUGCAGAGUGCUGGACACAGAGGCGUGCCAGUUCCAUGGAUGGAAACAACUGGUAGAUACUCACACAGGAACUGAGGGGACAGACAUACACACAACCUGCCUUAGGAAUAAUGUCAACUUCUAAGACAGCUAGAGCAGCCGAGCCCUGCUGCUGUGGGGGGUGGCACUCACUCGUAGGGAAUGCUUCUGAAAAUGACAUGGUCCAGGAGGGUGAUCUGUUCUGCCAGCUCCAUGGCCGACAAGGACUCAAAGCAUUCGGCCUUCAUGCAGUCAGUCUGCAAGAGAUGAGGGAGGGAAAUGAAACACCCAGGAGAGGGCGCCUGCCAUCUCAUUGCAGGUCAGUGAGGCAGACAGCUGCAUGUGUGGAAGCAUGAAGUUCACCACUAAAUUCUAACUAUGAAAAAAAUGGCAGAAAGCUAAAAGUAUCAAAGCCAACAUGAAUAUCUUAGACCAACUGCUAGACCCCACACCAAAUGUGGUUCAUCUCACAGAGCUUCACAGAUAGGACAGAGGGCCUAAUACUACAACACUCCUUGAUCGGUUACAAGCAUAUUGCUCGCCUUGGAGAGGUAGUUUGCACAUAGUUGUGCUAGAUAAAAAUGUGGUCAGACUUACCAUUUGAAUUAUAUCCUCUAAUUUUAGGUGGAUGUCAUCUUGGUCAUCUUGUGAAAGGGCCCUGAAAAAGAUAUCAAAUUAUCCUCCAUGAAAGAAAAAAUAGACAACCUAGGAACAAAACUACAAAUGCAGUUUGGUUUUCCCUGGAUGGGAGGUCUGAGGAUUUGGGUCUACAAGGCCAUGCAGCACAACCAACUGCUGAGCUGGAGAUGAGCAAUCCCCAAACAGAAAACAUGCUCAAGGCAUGAGAGAAUCAUCAGGACAGCUGAUUUAGAACAAAAAGGCAACCUGUUACAUACAAGGUUGUAAAUGAAACAACCACCGUCACAGUGAGUCUGAGGGUGAGCUGGGUGAGCUCUGAGUUACCAUCCAUAAUGUAAAAUGGAGCAUCCUCUAAUGCUAUCAGCCAGUUGGACUCCUAGGCCUGAGUGCCCUCCUCCCCACACCUCUAUCCCCUACCGUGGGCUUUCCCUGCCCUCACAGAGGCAGGAGACGCAGGGCCACCCCUUUCUCAAGCUUACGUAGACCAGAAGCACAGGGGGUUCCUAUGUGGCAAGACUCUGAACAAUGCCAGGCAGGAGCCAGCAGAUAGCUUCUUCCCCCUUGCAUUCCAGAUGGACUUUCCUCAGACACUUUUGGCCCUGAAUCUCAUACAUGUUAUUCAGCUCUCAAUAAAUAUCUUUUAAAAAAAUAAAUGAUGAAUGAAUGAAUGAGUGAAUGAAUAAACACAAGUUAAUACCUUAAAUACUGGUUUCAGAGUAGAGGGUAUUUUUGUGCAACAGACGUUCAGAGUCCAGGAAAACUGGAGUCCAGUAGGCAUCCAAUUACAUAAUUUGCCAUUGGAGCCAGGCAUUUUAUGUUUUCCAAAAGGAAGGCACAAGCACAUACUCAAAGCAUUAAAAUAGUAGGAGGGCAGAUCAUGAGGUCAGGAGAUCGAGACCAUCCUGGCUAACACGGUGAAACCCUGCCUCUACUAAAAAUACAAAAAAUUAGCUGGGCAGGUGGCGGGCACUUGUAGUCCCAGCUACUCGGGAGGCUGAGGCAGGAGAAUGGCGUGAACCAAGGAGGCAGAGCUUGCAGUGAGCCGAGAUAGCGCCACUGCACUCCAGCCUGGGCGACAGAGCAAGACUCAAGUCUCAAAAAUAAAUAAAUAAAAUAAAACAAAAUAAAAUAGUUAAACGGUCCCAAACCAUGUACUCUGCUGGAGGAAGCUACUUUUAGUAAAAGGCGAAAGAUUUAUGCGAUAUGAAGAGAAACUAGAGUAAGAGGAAGCUACUUUUAAAAGAAGUAAUGAUGAUGUGAUGUUCUGUUGUGUUCUGAGUUGAUUAAAACAACAGCCACAACCCUCAAAAACAUAAUAUCAACAGAGAUGGCUUCCUGUAUGCCCGCUCUAUGCCAGGCAUGUGCUAAACAUUUGACAUGCACUAUCUCCUGUAUCCUAACAGAUCCCUUCCAAGGGAUUGUUAUACAGGACAGCAGAUAAUGCAGGCAUUGUGAUCUCCGUUUUACAGAUAAGGAAACAAAAGCUCAAAGACACUGACUAAGUUGCUCAGGGUUGUGGGCCCUUCCUUUACUCUGCGCUUCUCUUAAGCAGGCUCAGGGAAGGCACCUCUUCAAGGGUCCCACACACAGCACACAGUCAAUAAACACAACUCCCUUCCCUCGGCUGUCUGAAGGGGGAGCAGGAGCCUUCUAGAUUAUACUAGUAGCAGCCCUCUUAUCGGCACUUAGCCAUAUUAUUUGUGAGUAGAAAGAAAUAGUCAUUUUAUCUUAAAGGGCAGAUUAAGAUGAGGAAAAAAUAAGUUAAAGCUAACUCUUUCUCCAAAGCCUAUUAAAUUACAUGUAAGGGUUACACAUGGGAGAUAAAAGUGACUUUUCCGAAAGUGCACAUCAUCUUUUCCACCAUUCUAGGUUCCUGGAGAGAGAUCUGUGGCUCCAUAAUUAUGUGUACCAGUGGGAAAGAUCUUUUUAUGAAGCUGGGUAAUAUCUUUCCCUUGGAAAGAAAAAGUCAAAAAGUUAGUUAGCUCCCAUCAAAUGUUCCUCUUCUCAAUGAUCUUACCCUCAUUUUCCAAGAGGCACUCUGGUGCCAUUAAGUUACCUAACAUUUUAUGCCUUCCUGUUGAUGCUAUGUGGGGUUUGAGGAUGACUUUUCUAUGACCUGAGCCCAUCACAGUUGAACAUCCAAGAAGUUAAUCACUAUUUCUUUUUAUUUUGUGGCAUGUUGGGUAUCUAGAAAAACUCUACACUGAAUAGAUUUUGAAGACAGCUAGUUAGACAACUUUGGAGGAGGAGAGAUGGUAUUUUAGAAAUAUAAGUUUUGAGUACAGGUUUUUAUUUACAAACAGGGCAACAAACUAUAUAUGGCAAUUAAGUGUAUUCAUCAUACACUUAAUUGUGACCCCUGUGAGACUGUGAGUCAGGGAGGCUUCAUUCAAAAGAGCAUUUGCUUUAUUGCAUUAAUGUAACCUAUGCAUGAAAACAUGUUUUAUGUUCAUAUCUCUUAGAUGUCAGGAAUGCAUAUAAAUCUCUAAAUGUCAGGGCUGCACUUAACCACCAUAUGAUAUGUUUUUUAUCUCUCACAGUCAUAGCCUGUGUUUUCUAGAGGGCAUGGUUCAGAAUUCUUUCCCUUCAGAUGUGGAGGCCUCUGCACUUCUGGUUCAGUUCCAAUAGAGAAAAGAUUUGCUUCUAGUCUUCUGGCGAUGCUUGGGCAUUGAUGAACAUUCCAGGAUCCUGGGUUCCCCACCACCAUCACUACCACGUCUAUCAGCAGUAUCACCAGUUUAAUAAUUGUGCAUUUAUAAUGACACACCAAAUAAAAGGAAAUGGGAUUAUCCAAGCUGUAUGAAUAGAAAAUUCCUCUUUCAAUUAGGGUAGUCCAAAAACAGAGCCACAAGCAACCAGUGUCUGUCCUGGGAUUGGUCCACACUGUCUUUGUGUGGAAAAGGUGACGAAGCCUAAAGAAAGUUGAGUUGACUAAGAUCCAGCCUGGUUUCACUUGGGCCAUAUGGCCUUAACGGCAGAAACUACUUUUUCCAGGAACUACUGUCAGUGCUUCUAACAGUAAUAAUACUCACUUUACUACGAGUGCUAAUGACUUUUCAGGCAUUGUGUUAACCUCCUUACACAUUUCACAUCAUGUACUCUUCACAACAACCUAAUGAAGUAGCUAUUAUGAGUCCCACUUUAUAAAUGAGGAAACAGGUUUGGACCGGUUGAGAACUUGACAUCCAUAAAUGGCCGAGCCAAGAUUUAGCCUUGUGACAUCCUGCAAAAGGUAGAAUCAGACUCUGCUCAGUGUUGUAGUUUCAAGCUCUACUGCCUACUAAAAUUUCUGUUCCCUAUCAAUCUUACACUGCUAACUCUCAGGUCAUUAUUCAGCAGAAAGAAUUGGCACAUCUGAAGCCUGAUGAAUAAUCAAGACCUGGGAUGGCAAACAGGAUUCAUCUUAAGAACCAACUCCAACUGACUGACGUCUGAGGUCACCUCUUGGUGCAGAGAGAAAGCUCUCAGAAUUGAUGGGUAAAGUCUGGCAUGGGCGUCUUGAGGGGAUUGGCAACAAAAGGCCCUCAUACUGGUUGAUCCUGACAGUUUUUCCCAGCCUGAACACCCUCACUUCCCUGAUAGCUAUUUAGUCAAAUAUCCCUAGGGGCACAAACUUCCUGAAUCUAGUUUUUAAAUAUUAGUGUUUUAAAUGCAAAGAGCAUAACAAACUAGUUAUGAAGAGAAAAGAAACAGUAAUCACUCAGAGUCCCUCAUGCACUGAAAUCAGGCUUCACCUCAAUAUGUACUUACAAUUUUAAAAUCUGAAAACAGACACAGUAGUGGAAUCCCUGGGCUUACUUAGAUGUUUUCAUAGAAUGGAAAAAGUGAAGAAGGCCCCUAACUGUUUCCUAGGGCUGCCUUAAUAAAAUCCCACAAACUGGGUGGCUUAAAACAACAGAAAUGUAUUGUCUCACCUUCCAGACAGAGGUCUGUAAUCGAACAGUCAGCAGGGCUAUGCUGCCUCUGAAUCCUGGAGGGGAACCCUCCCUUGCCUUUUUAGCUGCUGGUGGUUUGCCAGCGAUCUUUGGCUUUCUUUGGCUUGCAGCUGCAUAACUCAGUCUCUGCCUCCAUCUUCAGAUGGCAUUGUCUGUGUCUGUCUUCCAUGGUUGACUUCUUAUAAGGACACCAAUCAAAGUGGAUUGGGGUCCACCCUACUCCAAUACCUCCACCCUACUCCAGUACCUCAUCUUAACUGAUUACACUGGCAAUGGCCUUAUUUCCAAAUGAGGUCCAUUUUGAGGUAUGGGAGGCUAGGACUUCAAUAUAUCUUUUAGGGGGUAGGGAGAUACAAUUCUACCUGUAAGAGACCCUACACCAAAGAACGGUCUGGCUAUGGGAUCUUCAGCUAAUGGGGGCUAAGAAAGACUUACAGGCCAGUUGCUAACACAUCACAAACCAACAUCUGGUGUUGCUGCAUCAGGGAAGGACUUGCAAAAACAUGGACUGAGCUAAAAUAGACUGCCUGUGGAUGACACAAACAUUCUGGAUAACAUGUAACAAGGAGACAAUGCAGCCAAGCUUCGAGGAAAGGAAGGGUCAUUUCUAGAGGUUGUAAAUGAAGAGGGAACUAGAAAUGAGAGUGGUAAAGAAGUACCAGACCCUGGCAGAGAGAUGCUGGGCUUCCCAUCCCCAAGCACGGACAGAGGACGUACUUAUGAGUGAGCUGGGAAGCUGCAACUGAAAUGUCUGCACAAAGCUAGCAAUGGCUGCCCUUUCCACAUAGAGUGGACAAAAAAAAAAUCCACCCACCAGUUCAAGAAGCUAUAAGAAAGCUUGUUACCCACUUGGAUACUGGGUGCAACAACUAUGGACACAAUCUCUAGCAGUACACCCAAAGUUGAAGCCUUUAUCACAUAGAAGUGUGGAGUCAUACCUUAUACAAUCCCCCAUAGUCAUACCACCUACGUGAUGUGGAAAUCCUAAACUGACAAGCUGUAGAAAAGCUGGUCGAGGACCAGUGAAAUGAGCCAAAGAAAAUUCCUAACUACUCUGUGAUGUCACAUCCACAUUUUAGGUGCACGAGACUCCCACAGACACAACCACACUCACAAACAUGAGCUUACAAUAAACAAUUACAACCCACAGGAGGAAACAUCAUCUCUCUUUGAUGCCUGCCGGACUUGCAGGAGAGGCUCCUCAAGGGUUCCUUUCUUUAACUGUUGGUUCUAUAGUAAACCGCUGUCUGCCUCCAUAAAUAACAGCAACUGCACUCCACACGAGUUAUACCACCCCGUCCCGAGUCUUCCUGAGACAGCAGACCCCAAAUUGCCCCCAGGAAAGAGAAGAUAAUACAUAACACUUUACUGCUGAGAACAUAGUCCCCACUGUCCCCAGGAUUCUAAGAUUUAUUGGCUCUUAUUUUCUAUGAACAUAGCAGGAAUCAACCAAUGUCAUCCAGUCGGCAUCUUCAGCUGCCUUCACCUGAGGAUAUUCGCGGCGGCUUUCCUUUCUUGGGGAAGAAGGUCUGGGUCUCGCAAAACUUCUUCUAGCAAAUUUAGGACAUUCAUCUUUAGUUCAUUGUUGAGUUCGAAAUCCUGUAAAAUAAAAUGAAUCUUUUUAAAUUUUAGCUUUGAAAGGGUUAGCUCUAUGACACAUGACACCAUUCUCCAUGAUAAAUUCUCUAGAAGCUAGGUAUGGAAAUUAAAAUGUAUGGACCCUAGAGUUCCCUGCCACACCUAGGGUCCCGAUUUAAUUGGUUAGGAAUGGUGGUCUGUUAUUGGUAGUUCUGACAGGCUCCCCUGGGGGCUCCCCAGGGGGUGCAAAUGUGCAGUCAGUGUUGAGAACAACUGCCUCUAGGAACAGCCAUUGGGAAGGGUCCUUAACAGAGCUUACGAGGCCCUGGCCCACCCCUCCAGCCUCUUCUCUCACACUGCUUGCAUCCCUGUGGCCUGCAACACGUACCACGCCCCCAACACACACCACGCCCCCAACACACUCACACUGUCCUAGACUUAACAAAUGCCUUCAGUUCCUCAAGAGAUAUGUGCUUCUCAUAGCCUGGAACACUAUGCCGCCUCCAUACAUGUAUUUCUAUUCAUAUUUUGGGCCUAGGAGAUGAUAUGCACUCUCCCUGGAGUCUUCUUAAUUCACCCAGUGGGAUUGGGAGCUUUUCUUUGUGCACCCACGGCACACGUAACUCACGGCUGUCAACUCCCUGUAUUCCAUUGAAAGGGCCAAUUUAAUUGCCUGGCUUUUUUCUGGACCAUGAGUAAGAUCAGUAACUGUGACAUACCAGUAUCUCAAAGAAUAUUUGCUGCAAGAAUAAAAUCUGUCAUUUAAGCAGUAACUUGAAUGAAAAUAUGCUAAGGCUAUCAAUAUCUAUAUCUACAUCAAUAUAGAUAUGCUAAGAGCUAAAGAAUGACACAGACUAAUGGGGCCACAUCGAAUGAACAUAGAAGUGAGAUUGAAGAGGCACCCACUGGGGAAAGUUGGGACAAUAUGAGCAUCAAAAUGAAUAAUGAGAGUAAUAAGCAAUAACCAGUUUAAUAAGAAGAACCUGUAAGUCCCUAUCGAUAUUGAUGCUCACAAAGACAGACAGAUUUUAAAAAGGUAGAAAAUAAAACUAUUCUUCUUCUUUUUUUUUUUUUUUUUAAAUCACAGGGUCUCUCUCUGUCACCCAGGCUGGAGUGCAGUGGUGUGAUCAUAGCUCACUGCAGCCUCAAAUUCCUGGGCUCAAGGGGGUCCCCCACCUCAGCCUCCCAAGUAGCUGGGACUACAGGUGUGUGCCACCAUGCCCAGCCAAUUUUUAAAUUUUUUGUAGAGACAGGGUCUUGCCAUGUUGCCCAGGCUGGUCUCAAGCUCCUGGGCUCAAGUGACCCUCCCAUCUCAGCCUCCCGAAGUGCUGGGAUUACGACCGUGAGCCACUGCACCCAGCCUAAAGCUAUUCUUUAUAGUAGAAUUCCAAAUAGUAGAUGCAAAGAAAUAAAUGAGUUAGAAAAUCACCAUUUUCUUUUUUUUUUUUUUUUUGAGAUGGAGUCUCACUCUGUCACCCGGGCUGGAGUGCAGUGACGUGAUCUCGGCUCACUGCAACCUCCGCUUCCCGGGUUCAAGUGAUUCUCCUGUCUCAGCCUCCUGAGCAGCUGGGAUUACAGGUGUGUGCCACCACGCCUGGCUAAUUUUUGGAUUUUUAGUAGAUACAGGGUUUCACCAUGUUGGCCAGGCUGGUCUCAAACUCCUAACCUCAAGUAACCUGCCUGCCUUGGCCUCCCAAAGUGCUGGGAGCCACCGCACAGGCAUGAGACACUGCACCCGGCAAAAAAUCACCAUUUUCAACCAAAGCAGUAAUCACUGAUUCAGGCAAGGAUCAUGACUGAAUGCUAAAAUGGUUGAAUGAAGUGUAUUAGAGAACAGAAUUAACAGUGUCAGAGUACACCUCAGAGAUUACUUAUUAAUUACAAAGGGAGAAUCUGGCAGAUAACACCUUACCCCAAGUGAUCAAAGUUACCAUCCCCCAUGAUGGAAGAAACCAACAUCAUAUGUCUACUAAUGUAAUGCUCUGUAAUGUAAUACAUCCUUAGUAUUUCUGCCUAAAAUGCAUAAAUUGAUCUAAUUUUGAAGAAGCAUUGGCCUGUACUCUUCAGAAAUGUCAGUGUCAUAAACAACAGAGACAAACUGAGGAACUCUUCCAGCUCAAAGGACACCAAAGGGAUAACAGCUAAAUGCAACCUGUGAACCUGGAGUCAAGAGGCGAAUGCUUUAAAAGGGCAUUACUAUGACAACUGGCAAAAAUGGAAUCAGGACUAUGCACUAGUAGAGAGCAUUCUGCCAAUCUGAAAUUUUCCUGAAUUUGAUCAUUUUACUGUUGGCUGUCUAAGAGCAGGUUCUUCACUUAUACACUAUUGGUGGGAAUGCAAAUUAGUUCAGUCCCUGUGGAAAGCAGUUUGGAGAUUUCUCAAAGAACUAAAAAUAGAACUACCAUUUGACUCAGCAAUCCCUGGGUAUAUACCCAAAGGAAAAUAAAUUGCUCUACCAAAAAGAGACAUAUACUUGCAUGUUCAUUGCUGCAUUAUUCAUAAUAGCAAAGACACAGAAUCAACCUAGGUGCCCAUCAACGGUGCAUUAGAUAAAGAAAAUGCGGUAUACAUACACCAUGGAAUACUAUGCAGCCUUAAAAAACGAAAUCAUGGGCCAGGUGCGGUGGCUCACGCCUGUAAUCCCAGCAUUUUGGGAGGCUGAGGCGGGCGGAUCAUGAGGUCAGGAGAUCGAGACCAUCCUGGCUAACAC